CCUACGGGAGGCAGCAGUGAGGAAUAUUGGUCAAUGGACGAGAGUCUGAACCAGCCAAGUAGCGUGAAGGAUGACUGCCCUAUGGGUUGUAAACUUCUUUUAUAUGGGAAUAAAACGUUCCACGUGUGGGAUUUUGUAUGUACCAUAUGAAUAAGGAUCGGCUAACUCCGUGCCAGCAGCCGCGGUAAUACGGAGGAUCCGAGCGUUAUCCGGAUUUAUUGGGUUUAAAGGGAGCGUAGGUGGAUUGGUAAGUCAGUUGUGAAAGUUUGCGGCUCAACCGUAAAAUUGCAGUUGAAACUGGCAGUCUUGAGUACAGUAGAGGUGGGCGGAAUUCGUGGUGUAGCGGUGAAAUGCUUAGAUAUCAUGAAGAACUCCGAUUGCGAAGGCAGUUCACUGGACUGCAACUGACACUGAGGCUCGAAAGUGUGGGUAUCAAACAGGAUUAGAUACCCUUGUAGUC
rnacentral:rRNA from 1 species